rnacentral:rRNA from 1 species
AGUGAACGCUGGCGGUAGGCCUAACACAUGCAAGUCGAACGGCAGCACAGUAAGAGCUUGCUCUUACGGGUGGCGAGUGGCGGACGGGUGAGGAAUACAUCGGAAUCUACUUUUUCGUGGGGGAUAACGUAGGGAAACUUACGCUAAUACCGCAUACGACCUACGGGUGAAAGCAGGGGAUCUUCGGACCUUGCGCGAUUGAAAGAGCCGAUGUCGGAUUAGCUAGUUGGCGGGGUAAAGGCCCACCAAGGCGACGAUCCGUAGCUGGUCUGAGAGGAUGAUCAGCCACACUGGAACUGAGACACGGUCCAGACUCCUACGGGAGGCAGCAGUGGGGAAUAUUGGACAAUGGGCGCAAGCCUGAUCCAGCCAUACCGCGUGGGUGAAGAAGGCCUUCGGGUUGUAAAGCCCUUUUGUUGGGAAAGAAAAGCAGCAGGUUAAUACCCCGCUGUUCUGACGGUACCCAAAGAAUAAGCACCGGCUAACUUCAUG